UACGGAGGGUGCGAGCGUUCUCCGGAAUCACUGGGCGUAAAGGGCGCGUAGGCGGCAGGCCAAGCGUGCGGUGAAAGUCCGGGGCUCAACCCCGGAUCUGCCGUGCGGACUGGUUUGCUAGAGCACUGUAGAGGCGAGUGGAAUUCCGGGUGUAGCGGUGGAAUGCGUAGAGAUCCGGAAGAACACCGGUGGCGAAGGCGGCUCGCUGGGCAGUGGCUGACGCUGAGGCGCGACAGCGUGGGGAGCAAACAGG
rnacentral:rRNA from 1 species